rnacentral:rRNA from 1 species
UACGGAGGGGGCUAGCGUUUGUUCGGAAUUACUGGGCGUAAAGCGCACGUAGGCGGCUUUGUAAGUUAGAGGUGAAAGCCCAGGGCUUAACCCUGGAAUUGCCUUUAAGACUGCAUCGCUAGAAUCGUGGAGAGGUGAGUGGAAUUCCGAGUGUAGAGGUGAAAUUCGUAGAUAUUCGGAAGAACACCAGUGGCGAAGGCGACUCACUGGACACGUAUUGACGCUGAGGUGCGAAAGCGUGGGGAGCAAACAGG